UACAGAGGGGGCAAGCGUUGUUCGGAAUUACUGGGCGUAAAGGGCGCGUAGGCGGCCUGCUAAGUCGAACGUGAAAUCCCUGGGCUCAACCCAGGAACUGCGUCCGAUACUGGUUGGCUUGAAUCCGGGAGAGGGACGUGGAAUUCCAGGUGUGAGCGGUGAAAUGCGUAGAUAUCUGGAGGAACACCGAUGGCGAAGGCAGCCUUCUGGGCCAAUACUGACACUGAGGAGCGAAAGCCAGGGGAGCAAACGGGG
rnacentral:rRNA from 1 species